ensembl:lncRNA
UGCAAACAUGAGAGAGUGUGUGUGACAGAACAGCAAAGUUCAGAGUGGUAUUCAUGUUAAUGGAGGAAAGGGUCUGGAUGAAGAAAUGGGGAGCAUUGCUACUGCAGCUGCCACUGUUGCUGUGACCUGUGGUGUUGUCUGUUGCUACUUUAACCUAUGGUCAUGAUUAAUACUGCUCUGACCUGAAUUUUUUUCUUCUUUCAAUUUAAAAACAUCUUUAAAGUUUUUAUAUUUUUUCUCAUCAGUCUGGGCUUUUUUUCCCCACUUUGUGUAAGUUUAGACAGGUCUCAAGAUAGCGUGGGCCAAAAUGGUGAAGAUUGGACAAUAUUUGGACGAGGAGCAGCAAAAAUGGCACUUAGAUGGAAGCAAUUUUGGCAACUAACGGUGACCUGAAACUUAAUUAAGCUGCGUGACAACAAUAUCUCCCUCUAAGACUGUAGGUCUCCAUUCAUCCAUCCAUCUUCUAUACUGCUUAUCCUUUCUUCAUGGUCAGGGGGAAACCUGGAGCCUAUCCCAGGGAGCAUCGGGCACAAGGAGGGGUACACCCUGGACAGGGUAGUCUGUAGGUCUGUGCUCUUCUUAUCUAUUGUAACUUUUGUAAAGGGACCAGUCCAGUUUCUCUCCAGCUUCCCACCCUUUUUUUGUUGGCUUCAAAUAUUUUUCCUAAGAACCUGGUCCUGUACAUGAAACCAUGUCUGUUUCACAAAUUUGGCCAUCUUGUAUUUACUUUGAGCUGCGGUUAUAUUUUCACGCACAAGAGUGAAAAUGGAGUCCUGCCUUUUAAUGACCUCUGACACCACCUCCUGGCCAAGAACAUUCAUUGAAACAUUGUGG